CAAUUUUCGUCGAUAAAAUCGAGACUAAGUCGCCAUAUAUCGCGAUUUUUGUCGCGAUAAUAUUGCGAUAAAUUGCCGGGCGAUAAAAUCGCGAUUUUAUUGCAACAAGAUCGAGGAUAAUCGCUCAGAUGUUGAUGAUCUUAGCGCUAUCGCCGACAAAAUCGCAACAAAUUUCGAUUUUUCGUUGAAAAAUGCUACUUGGGUCGUCGUGCAAGACAUCGUACCAGUAAACAAACCGUCUCAAAGCUGUUUUAAGUAUUUUUAUCCAAAUCGUGAAUUGUUAAUCAUCAUUAAUUGAAACGAGCUCGUACCAAACGGUUGGUUCAAGAAGCACUCAAAAAGAUUGUGGAGGGUUUUUCCUUUUUAUUCACCGCACGUCAGUUAAACAUUGCGACCAAUCACCUCCAUUAAUGCACAAAAAAUACCUCAUGAAACACGAAUUUCCUCGAUUCACCGAUGUUCUUCGAGGUGUAUUAUUACACGAUGGGAAUUCCCGUGCCGUGGUUUCAACGCCUCGAUAAUUUAGUCAGACUGCUGCCAGAUUCAACGACGCAUUUUGAUGGACACGCGAAAAGAUGAAACUCCGAUGUUUUCAAAACAAUUGUCCGAAAACAUAUUGUUUUUGAACGGUUGAACUCGCCCUGUUUUAAGCUGUCCCUUCCUUAUCCUUUUCAUCGACCGUCCGCACUGCAGGAAGUUGUGUCCGAAAUUCAGGCAUCAGCCGUAGGAUCAAAAUGAAUUAAUCGAGAUUAUCGUUUCAAUUUGCACGCUGGCGCUGAAUUAAGCCACUCUCCUCUGUUCGGAAUUUCCUUAACGUCAAGGUCGCCGCUGAUUCGAUCAUUUUGAGCGCAGUGUAACUUCAAUCGUUCCUCAUCUUUGUGGCAUCAAGUUCAAUUUAUACAUCCUACACGAUGAGUUUUAAGCUGUGGAUCUUGGCCGUUUUCGUGAUCGCCCUUGUGGCUAUUGUCCGGGGCGAUAGUUCCGAAGAAUCCGGAAGCUACGAACACGGACACUACGGUGGUCACGGACAUUACGGUGGACAUGGACAUUACGGUGGACACGGUGGACACGGUGGACAUUACGGCGGACAUGGUGGACAUUAUGGCGGACACGGACACCACGGGGGAUACGGAGGACAUGGCGGAUACGGUGGACAUGGUGGAUACGGUGGCGGACAUGGUGGAUAUGGUGGAUACGGUGGUUGGGGCUGGGGAAAACGAUGAUCUUUCCUCCUUUAAAUUGUAAAUAGCUGUAAUAUAUAAUUUAUUUAAAUCGAUGAUUUGCUUUUGAUUUAAUUAAAUUAAACAAAUGCAUAUACAAACUUUUAUGUACAAUAUCUCGUUAAAAACUGAUAAUGGAAUUAUACUUAAAAUAUUCUCGAGUGUACUGUUUUUUUUUUAUUUUACAGGUGAAUAUUCCUCUCUUCCUACGUUAAUUGCGUUCAAGUAUUUAACUAGGGUUUUUCCCUUAUUACAUUUUCACGCUCCGAAAUCCUAUAAAAUAGCAUCGUUGAAUACCUUAUUACCUUCUGAUAAGUUUUUUUUACGCUGAUUACGAGUUUUUCAUGACAUUUAUUUGCAGUUUUUUAAAAUUAAGGCAAAAAGUAUACAUUUUUAAAGAUUAUUAGAUGUUUUUUUUUCAAAAUACAAAUAAAUUUCAUUUUCAAGUACCUAUUUCGCUUGCUUAGUUCUGCACCAUUUUGAUACGAAUCGUUAAGAUUUUUUCCUGUGCGUACCACUUGUGAGAUUUUUGUUAACUUUUGCUUUAAAAAGUAUGAAUUCAAUCUGAAACUGUAGGAAAACAUCAAAUUUCAAUUUUAACCUAAUACAAUCAAACCUUACUUCUCAGGCGGAGUCUGAAAAUAGCAUAGGAAAAUAGGAUGAAAACUAAAUGCGAAUCACAUUAUUGUCUAAACUUCUGCAUGUCCCUAAGCAUGUUUAGCGAUUACUCACGGGAAUAAUUGAAUGAAUUUUACUGUAAACAUCUCGUAUUUCAAUAAAUUAAACUUUAAUGAGCCGGAAACAAACCUAAAUUCUCUUGAUCCCUUAGUACUUAUCACAAUAACAUCAACGUUUAGAGCGUGCGUACAAUAGUGUAAAUUUAUUUAAACUCGCUACCGGAUCCAGGAAGUACACGUUUGCGUAUUCGAAUGUUGCCAAGUUUUUGCUGAGAAAAUACAUUCAUCUGAGGAAAAUUUUGAAUUUUUUCUCUGCACUAGACCACGCAUCUCGUUUGCGGAGUUUAAAAAUCUCCGUUCCCAUUUUAUUUUCUUUGAAAAAGAACAAGCAACAUUGUUUCUUGAAACACUCAUAGAGUUUUCCAUGCACACAGAAGACAAAACACGGAAGUUUUCAAGAAUUGACGUUGAGUCAUUUUCCAUUUAAAAUAUAAAGCAUGACAGGAGUCUACAACGUCCCAAACCGAGAUACGUGGUCUGGUAUCUUCACCGCUGACUUGAUUAAAUUUCGAAUGGAAUUC
rnacentral:lncRNA from 1 species